GGGAGCUGUGGGCACAGAAGGCAGGACUCAGGACAGUCCCCACCAUGGCCUGGUCCCCUCUCCUCUUCACCCUCCUGGCUCACUGCACAGGUCA
rnacentral:pre_miRNA from 1 species